UGCACCUAAAAGCGUUUUCUUGCCAGCUCGUUCAAAUGCUCUUGAAAAUCGUAGAUGUGUGCCAGAGAAAUCCUUACGAUAGCAAAGGAUUUGAGUUUUUGGAUAAUUCUAAUUCGUUUACAUUGUGAACAGUC